UCCUUCUAACUCCAGCGUAGUCACCUCCCAUUUCCACUUGUUCCUUAUUGCAGGACAUGUUUUUUUAAGAUGAUAAUGAUACACACACAGUAGCAACUGGUAAUACCUAACUGUUUCUCACGGGGAAAAAACAGAAUUUCAUGGGGUGUUCUGCUAAGCCAAGAUAUGCUAUGCCUUAAAACUCAAACUUGUCUCCUUGCAGGUUCAAAUUUGGAACUAUCGAUGAUGUCACAAAGCACAUCACAGCAUCAUCAUGACAUCACUUGGAAUUUCUGCACAAUGCUCACAUGUAGAGAUGUGGCCAUGGCAACAAUGAAGAUGCAUUCUGGCCAGAUCUGGGCAGUAAGUACACGGCCUGGUCUUCAGUGAGCACUCUGAUCCAGAAGAACCUGGUGAUGAAGACCCACAACCCUGCAAGGUAUUCUCUGACAGAAGAGGGUCUGGCUUUAGGGGAGCGCCUCAAGUCUUUAGAGGGAACUAAAGGUCCAGAAGGAGACAGAGAGGAGGCCAGGAGUGAAGGAAACAAGCAGGAGGAGGGAGAGGAGGGUGGCCCGGGGUUUGUGGACCUCACUGUUAGUGAUGAUGACGAAGAGGAGAAGGAAGAGGAGAGAAUACAACCUACAGAGAGGCCGAUCUCCUCUGCCCAGCCGAGGGUUGUCGUUCCUGGGAUGUUCUUUUCAGGAAAACCCCAAAAUGUACCGUCAACGAGCAGAAACCCAAAUUCAUGGAGUCUCCUUCCCGGCUCCUACGAGAUCAUCGUGUGUGUGUGUGUGUGUGU